rnacentral:lncRNA from 1 species
AACUCGAAGGGUUAAGAUGGGACGUGGAGUCACCAUCACCGUCAAGCUCUCAAUAUAUAUUAUACAUACCGAUGUACACAUAUGAUUUCAAUUCAUAUAUCCAUGCUGCUGAUGUGGUUCCUGCUAAAAUAUUGUACCGAUUUAUAAAACACUGAGAAAAGACAAAGUUGUUCAAGUCAAUCCAAUGAAGAGCAAAAAAACAAACUUAACACAUGUUAGCUCAAGUCAAGCCACUAUCUCUACAAAAAUAUUAUCUUCGACAGUAACACAUUCCUCUUGUUAAAUCUCUUUGACAAUUCUUCCCUUGCUUCUUCUCCUAGCCGCCGUCCUUUUCCUUCUUCGGGAGAGUGAUUAAUUAAACAACUGAGCAACCGGUCGGAUCGAGCUCAACGUUGAUCGUUCUCCGUCGCUAGCUUUGUACGAGCCGGGCCCAAGUGGCCGGACCACCGGUAGCUAGGAUCGAUCAGAUCUCGCCGCCGGCCGCCUCUUCUUUUCAUUAUUAUCUUAGCUGAUGCCAAAAGAAAAAGAAGAAUGGCUCAGAAAAGAUGGAUGAUAUGGUAGCUGAACAGCUAGCUUCGACACUACUCAUGGAUGGAUAGAUUGCGUUGUCAGAAAGUCACCACUUGGACUAGUAUAAAACGCCCGGUGUCAUCUUCCCGGCAGAUCCUUGAUCCUCUUUGCCGAUCUCAAACCAGCCAUCGAUCUCGAUGGCUCCUUUUCUUGUCACCUAAAAAGCUCAGUUCGGGUUGCAACUUCUCCAUAAACAAAGCACUGGACUGGCUGAUAGUUUUUCCUUUCUGAACUCUCUCUCUCAGUUGCA